AUGAACGCUAGCUACAGGCUUAACACAUGCAAGUCGAGGGGCAUCAGGAAGAAAGCUUGCUUUCUUUGCUGGCGACCGGCGCACGGGUGAGUAACACGUAUCCAACCUGCCCUUUACUCGGGGAUAGCCUUUCGAAAGAAAGAUUAAUACCCGAUAGUAUAAUGAUUCCGCAUGGUUUGAUUAUUAAAGGAUUCCGGUAAAGGAUGGGGAUGCGUUCCAUUAGGUUGUUGGUGAGGUAACGGCUCACCAAGCCUUCGAUGGAUAGGGGUUCUGAGAGGAAGGUCCCCCACAUUGGAACUGAGACACGGUCCAAACUCCUACGGGAGGCAGCAGUGAGGAAUAUUGGUCAAUGGGCGAUGGCCCGAACCAGCCAAGUAGCGUGAAGGAUGACUGCCCUAUGGGUUGUAAACUUCUUUUAUAUUAGAAUAAAGUGCAGUAUGUAUACUGUUUUGUAUGUAUAAUAUGAAUAAGGAUCGGCUAACUCCGUGCCAGCAGCCGCGGUAAUACGGAGGAUCCGAGCGUUAUCCGGAUUUAUUGGGUUUAAAGGGAGCGUAGGUGGACUGGUAAGUCAGUUGUGAAAGUUUGCGGCUCAACCGUAAAAUUGCAGUUGAUACUGUCAGUCUUGAGUACAGUAGAGGUGGGCGGAAUUCGUGGUGUAGCGGUGAAAUGCUUAGAUAUCACGAAGAACUCCGAUUGCGAAGGCAGCUCACUGGACUGCAACUGACACUGAUGCUCGAAAGUGUGGGUAUCAAACAGGAUUAGAUACCCUGGUAGUCCACACAGUAAACGAUGAAUACUCGCUGUUUGCGAUAUACAGUAAGCGGCCAAGCGAAAGCAUUAAGUAUUCCACCUGGGGAGUACGCCGGCAACGGUGAAACUCAAAGGAAUUGACGGGGGCCCGCACAAGCGGAGGAACAUGUGGUUUAAUUCGAUGAUACGCGAGGAACCUUACCCGGGCUUAAAUUGCAGUGGAAUGAUGUGGAAACAUGUCAGUGAGCAAUCACCGCUGUGAAGGUGCUGCAUGGUUGUCGUCAGCUCGUGCCGUGAGGUGUCGGCUUAAGUGCCAUAACGAGCGCAACCCUUAUCUUUAGUUACUAACAGGUCAUGCUGAGGACUCUGGAGAGACUGCCGUCGUAAGAUGUGAGGAAGGUGGGGAUGACGUCAAAUCAGCACGGCCCUUACGUCCGGGGCUACACACGUGUUACAAUGGGGGGUACAGAAGGCAGCUACCUGGUGACAGGAUGCUAAUCCCAAAAGCCUCUCUCAGUUCGGAUCGAAGUCUGCAACCCGACUUCGUGAAGCUGGAUUCGCUAGUAAUCGCGCAUCAGCCACGGCGCGGUGAAUACGUUCCCGGGCCUUGUACACACCGCCCGUCAAGCCAUGGGAGCCGGGGGUACCUGAAGUACGUAACCGCAAGGAGCGUCCUAGGGUAAAACUGGUGACUGGGGCU
rnacentral:rRNA from 1 species